rnacentral:lncRNA from 1 species
UUGUUUUGGGAUAUAUGUGGUUCCACCCCACUUCUCAGAUUUGAAAAUGCCGGUUGUUUUGGAGAAGGUAAACGUACACUUUCAUUGCCAAGCAUUGAGACAACAUCAGACAUGGUAGGCCUAUCAUCUGCACUUUCUUGAACACAAAGAAGGCCUAUAUUGAUGUACCUCAGCAGAAUGUGUGUUGGCAAUGUCUCUUCCAACCCUGGAUCCAUCAACUCCUGCCCUCUACUGUCUUUCCACAGAUCCCAUGCCUAAAUGAAGAAAAUUAUCCAUUGAUGCAAAUUCUCAAAAUGUAAAAGAUAAUAAAGUCCUUUUUAUAUCAGCCAACAAUAUAAAAUAAGCUUUGAAACUGAGUGGUAGACAUAAUGUGAAAAAUUUACCAGCAGCCUAAGACAACUAGAUAGGUAAUAUAACAAGGGAAUUGAAAACUAGGAAUUAGCAUAUCAAAACAUCAUAAAUAGUUAUGUUAGUGAAUAAAUAUUGUGUUACUCACAUAUCCAAGAAGAUUGAGCGAGUCGGUUUGGUAAAAUCCAGUAUUCUUCUUGCCACUCAAAAUCUCCAGUAACAAGACCCCAAAGCUAAAGACAUCAGAUUUAGUGGAGAAAAGACCUUCCAAAGCAUACUCAGGGGACAUAUAGCCGCUGGAUUUGAUUAUUAAUGAGAAAAAUCAUUCAAUAGCUGCAUGAUUUCAAAUGUUGUAUGAACAUUCAUAUAUUUUAUAAUUUGUCAGGUUUCACUUACUAAGUCCCAACUAUAUGAUUUGUUGCUUUUGAUUCGUUGCCUCCAAAUAUUCUUGCCAUUCCAAAAUCUGAUAUUUGAGGAUUCAUAUCCUUAUCCAGAAGAAUGUUGCUAGCCUUCAAAUCUCGAUGAAUAAUCCUCAAUCUGGAGUACUGAUGUAGAUAAAGAAGUCCCUGAGCAACCCCUUUAAUGAUGUGAACCCGUGUCUUCCAAUUCAGAAUCCCAUGUUUUGUAGGAUCUAUCUCCAUUUUACACCAAAUAAAUACAAACUUAUGUUAGCAAAUAAGUGGUGAAUAAUAAUGAAUGUCUUUUAUUGAAUACACAAUAGCCAGAAGUUCAGAUAUGUAGAAGUUACAAACCAAAUAGGAAGAAAUCCAAGCUUUUGUUGGGCAUAUACUCAUAAAUCAAUAUCUUCUCAUCUUUCUCAAUGCAGUAGCCGAACAGCUUCACAAGAUUCUUAUGUUGCAGCUUGGCUAUGAGCAUGACCUCAUUUUUUAACUCCUCCCAUCCCUGUCCAGAUCUUUUUGAAAGCCUCUUCACAGCUACCUCAUACCCUUUUUGUGACUUUCCCUAUCAUGGGAAUUUCGGCUGAGUACAAUUACAUCAAGUAAAAGAAAAUUUGUAUUUUCCUAGUGGGCCUCUACAGUUAAGGGCAGAUUGUAGAACAGUCAGAAGAAUUUUCACAUUUCUUUUCUGAAAGGCAUUGCUGUUAAUGGAACGAAUCUCACCUUGUAAACAGGUCCAAAACCACCCUCUCCUAGUUUAUUUUCAAUAGAGAAGUUAUUGGUAGCAGCAGAUACACUCGCAAAACUGAACAUUGGCAAAUCAACUUCCUUCUUCUCGCCGCUCCAAAGUUUACUUGUCUCACUAAGUUCAUAGUUGGUAUCUACUGAGCUGUUACUUAAAUCAAAUAGUAACAAAUUUUCCCCUGCUUGAUAAAGAAGAAACAGAUGUUAAGUAUCAUAAGAAUGUAGGAAUUCUGGAAUGGGAAUAAACUGUCUCAUUAUUGAUUUUAAUCACACUGUAGUGCCUGGUACACACUCACAUGUAAUCAGGAGAUUGAAAUCCUAGUAAGGCCUUGAUUAUUCUACAACAAUGGUAAUGAACUCAUUGCAGAAAAGAAAUGGUUUUGUAUGUGUAGAUGGAAUCUAAAUGCCCUUGAAUUGCUUGAUAAUCUUCUAUCCAUGAAAAAUACUGACCUUUUCUUCUUAGCCUUCUCCGUAUCCCCCAAAUGACAAAGGCUGAAGUUACGGAAAUAGCCAGUGUAACAAUUAGCCAUACCUUCCACUUGCUGCUUGAAACUGCAAAAAGAAAUAAAUGUAACUAAUCUUUGAUGAACUUCAUCUUAUAUUUAAGAAAAAGAAAAUCAUAUGCUCUGUCCUACAAAAAAAGUUUGACCAUUCCCUACUUUUAUUACCUUUCCCACUUAGCUCAGAGGCCGCAAGUUUGAGAUAGAAAUCUUGACCAUUACUGUUGUCAUCUGAUAGCUGUUGCAAGUUUAGAAGAUCUCCACCCCAUACUGUACACUUCUCCAUGUAGUAAGAAUAAGCAGAGCAAGAGCAGUUAUUUAGGCAAUCUGACUCGCACUGCAUGGCACCACUCGUUGGGAGUGUUAGUGGAUAAUCUGGCAGCCUCACAUUAGACACCCGAUAAAACUGGUCUCUCUCCCCAUUAUCAUGAGUACUAUUGCCACACUGCAAAUCUGCUUUCCUCACACACCCUCCAGAUGUGUCGUUCAAGUUCCAGUUAUUAGGGAAGCCAGGUUCAAAACCUGGCAAACAUUCACAGAAUCUAUCGACUGCAUGGUCAUGACAGAUUCCAAAAGGCCCACAGUAAGCAUAAACCUCACAUUGCGUUUUUGGUUGAAACCAAAACAUAUGCCAUUGAUGAGAGGCUUCAAGCCAUGACAUUUGUUUAAUCUGCCCUGACACAUCCAGCACGAAUCUGCAUAUUUUUGAAGAAUUAUAAAUAGAGUAAUUGAUAUAGCUCUCCUCCUUACUAAACGAAUAACUGAAAUUAAACACCUCGUUUAAGCGCAUCUCACUAAUCAAGCUGAAAGCCUGCCCAUCCCUGUCCCAGGUGCCACUAGCCCAGUACAUUGUGGACCCUUGCAAGAUAAAAAUCUGGCCGCUUCCCUUAGGGUCGUACUUCAUGGAGAAAACUCCUGGACUGGGAUCUUCUGUGCUCUUCCAUGACACUAAUGACCAUGUUUUUCCAGCCCUUUUGUCGUAUCCAAGUUUCAUCCCCGGCAAGAAAGUGUCCGAUGGAUAGUCAAAGCUCUGCCAUAAGAUACUCGAGUUGUUAUUUCUCAAAACAAGAUUGCCAGAAUCCAACAGGGUGGCACUAGUUUUGCUGUUUGAUGAUAUGCUUGUCACCCUGUAUGAAAUUUUCCCCUCCCAAACCUCGAGGUUACCAUCUGUCCUGACAGUAAGAACCACAGACGGAUCUGUGAAUGAAUAAUCUCGGUUAGCUACCCACACAAUGGUUGGCUCUGAUACUUUCUUGUACCAUAUCCCCACAUAGUAUUUUGUGGAGUUUCCAGGAGAAAAGAAUCCUAAUUCAAAUUCACCACCCGCAGAUAUGAUGGUCUGAGAGGUUGUGAUUGAUUGACCUUGUGAGAUUGUAUCUGUAAAUGCAUCAGCAAAUUCCAAGUGAAAACCUGAAGAAAUAAGCAAGAAAACAAGAAUAACAGACCACCAACUGGUUGAAAAUUUCAUGCUAGCCAUAACUCAUAAGCAGCGUUUAAGCAGCCCGCCGAUAAACUUAUAGCCAUCCUAAACAGGCAGUAGCAUAUCUGAGGUCCGGCGACUCGGUCAAAGUCUCCUUUCCACCGAUCUCCUUUCCAAUAUAUCUUUCAGGAAAAUUAUAGGGUACUGUGAGGUAGGUACAGAAGAAUAUCUUGGGCCAUUGGAUGUGAUCUUCAACAUUCAUCUUCAAUUUUGGUAAACAAAAAAAAAGAAAAAACAUAUAUAUAUAUAUAUAUAUAUAUAUAUAUAUAUAUAUAUAUAUAUAUAUAUAUAUAUAGAUACAUAUAGCAAGGUAGUUCUCUUUCUUUAGAUUCAUGAUCCUAGCUGACAUAGAAGAUAUCAUAAACUCUUUGGCAGGAAAGAGCUCUUUUGGAUGUUACUGGUUUUCAAUACCCUCUCAUUACGUCCUCAAGGAUGAAAAUAUCGAUAAUCACGGAUAUAUCGGUAACUUGAUUUUAUGGAUAUAUCGGAUAAAUAUCGACGGAUAUUUUGGAAAAAAAUUUUUGUAGACAAAAAAUUGAUCAAAACUCAUGAAAAUGUAAGAAAAACCUCAUAACAAUGUAAUUAGAAGUAUAAUAAACAAUUUAAAUUUGUUUUGUUGAAGAAUUUGAUAUAUAUAUAUAUAUAUUAUAUGAUAUGCGAUAUUAGAUGUAAUUAUAUUAUGUGGGUUGAUAAAAAAUAUGAAUUUUGUAAUUGUACACUCAUUAUCAAGUUCAUGAAAGACUUGAUUUCAUUAAAUAUCAAUAAUUUGUACAAAUUAUCACAUAGCCGUUGGAGUUGAACUUUGACCGUUGGAUCACAUCCAGCUUCAAUUUGGACCAUCAGAUGCAUAUGAGUCAUGAUUUGUUUCCAUUUUCUUUUUUAUCUUUACUAAAUCUAAAAUGCUUUUAUUCAAAAAUGUUUUAUUAUAUUUUAAAUAAAAAAUUAAAUUAAUUUAUAUAAAAUAUUUUAUUUGAUAUUUAAUUUCUAAAAUUUUAUUAAAAUGUGGUAACAACUUUUUAUAUCAAUAUUAAUUUAUUUAAAAACAUUAAAAAAAAUAGAUAUAAAUAAAAAAAAAAUUGAUAUAAAAUUUUUAAAAUAUAUUUAUCCAUAAAAAUAAAAAUUUCUUCACAUGCCGCAAUUGCAUUAUUUUAUUUUUAAAAUAUAAAAUAGUUUUCUUAUUUAAAAAGCUAUAAGUGCAAAUCAUUUUGUACAAAAUUUUAAAAAUUUAAAUUCCAGAUAAAAAUCAGUAUGAUAAUGUUUUAACAUGUUUUGAAUUGUUUACAAUGUGUUAGGAUUCACUUACUAAGUCACAACCAUAUGUUUUGUUCAUGUUCUUAUCCAGAAGAAUGUUGAUAGUCUUCAAAUCUCGAUGAAUAAUUCUCAAUCUAGAGUACUAAUGGAGAUAAAGAAGUCCCUGAGCCACCCCUUGAAUGAUGUGAACCCAUGCCUUCCAAUUCAAUACUGGAUCCAUCAAGUCCAGCCCUAUGUUGUUUUUCCACAUAUCCCAUGCCUAAAGGAAAGAAAAUGUUCUUUUGAUGCAAAUUUCCAAAGAAGAAAAACAGAUGUAUAGUCCUUUUUAUUGCAUGCAAAGAACUUCAACUUAAAAUUGACUAGUAAAUCAAGAAUUAGUAUAUUAGAACAUUGUAGAUUGUGUUACUCACAUAUCUAAGAAGACUGAGUGAGUCACUUUGGUAAAAUGUAGUAUUCUUUUUGCCUCUUAGAAUCUCCCGUAACAAGACCCUGAAGCUAAAGACAUCUGAUUUAGUUGAAAAUAGGCCUUCCAAAGCAUAUUCAAGGGACAUGUAGCUAGCCACUAAAUUUCAUUAUUAGAACAAAUUAUUUAGUGGUUGCUUUGUAACAAAAAUGUAUAUAUAUAUAUAAAAAAAAAAAAGAAAGGCCAUGUUGUGUGAGAAUUCACAUAUUUUACACUUUGCAAGGAUUCACUUACCAAGUCUCAAUUAUAUUAUUUGUUGCUAUCAACUAAUUUUCUCCAAAAAUUCUUGCCAAUCCAAAAUCUGAUAUUUUGGGUUCAUGUCCAUAUCCAAAAGAAUGUUGCUAGCCUUCAAAUCUCAAUGAAUAACCCUCAAUCUGGAGUACUGAUGGAGAUAAAGAAAUCCCUGAGCAACCCCUUCAAUUAUGUGAAUGUGUGUUUCCCAGUCCAAAAUCCCAUGUCUUGUAGGAUCCAUCCCAAUUUUACACCAAAUAAAUACAAACUAGUGUCAGUAAAUAAGAGGCCAACAACAAUGAAUGAAAAAAGCUUUUUAUUGAGCAUAGGAUAAACAAAAGUUUAGAUAUGUUGAGAAGUACAAACCAAAAGGAAGAAAUCUAAACUUUUAUUAGCCAUAUACUCAUAAACCAGUAUCUUCUCAUCUAGUUCAAUGCAACAACCCAAAAGUCUAACAAGAUUCUUAUGUUGGAGCUUGGCUAUAAGCAUGGCUUCAUUUUUUAACUCCUCCCAUCCCCGUUCUUAUCGUUUUGAAAGUCUUUUCACAACUACCCUCAUAUUGUCUUUGUUAUUUUCCCUAUCAUUAUGGUUGAAAGUUGCGGUAUCGAUCAUUGACUUGAGAGAUCUUAACACACAUCGAUCUUGGGGUUAAAGUUUCCAUAACUUCUUCUAGAGUUAUAUUCCACCUUCAAAGAGAAAGAAUCAUAGCUUCCACUCUCUCUUCAUCCAUUCCCACUAAAAGUGCAUUAAGAUCAAGGUUCAAGUCAUCGAACAAAAAAUUGUAGAUUUACAAGACUUCCAACAACUUCGAAGUCAUCUUCAAAUCCCCAAUUCUCAUGCACCAACUACCAACCUUUCUUCAAAUCCCUAACUCACCCAUACUAGAGAGAGAGAGAGAGAAAGAGAGAGGAAGGCAGACAAAAGCAGGCGAGAAUUGAGACCAAAAUUAGAGAGAUGAGGGACCAAAUGCAGUGAUGGCCGCUCAUGUCAAUGAAGGGGAUCUUCUUAUCACACCAAUCACCACAACAGGACCAUUGAAGACGCUCCACAUCCAUGAUCGUUCUGAAGUUAGUGAUACCAUAACCUCUUCUUCUUAUGCACCUCCAAGACUCAAUCAUGGGUUAGAUUGAUGUCUUUCUUCCUCUUCAUCAUGGUUAUUGAGAAACUUUUCCUUUUGAUGACAAUCUUUGAUUUUUUUAGAGGUUUUUUUGGUUUACAUCUCCUUUGUUGUUCCUCUAUUGUGAUUUGAAAGUGAAAAAAUGAUUUCUUUUGUUAACUUGAAUGGUUCAACCGAGUCAACUCGGAAGCUCCAUUGAGAUAACCGAGUUUAAGCGAUUCCUGAUUGAGUAUGAGUCUAUACGACUCAGCUAAGUAGUACUGGACUCGGCUUGUUCUUGAAUCGAUAGAAUUAAAGGAAUGCUUGGUGAAGGGAUAUGGUGUCUCCAUUUAUUUAAUUUAAUUGAUUACUUAUUUUUGGAUUGCAAAAUAAUCGUGUUAUUAUUUAUAUGAAAUAUUGAAUGAGUUUUGGGACAUUUAAGGGCAAGAGUACUAAGUAGAUUAAUUAUUUUUAAUUAAAUUCAAAACAAUCUUAAUUUGAAAGUUAUUUGAAUGGGAAAUAUAUUUAGGAACUAGUAAAAAGAAAAUUCUUUAAAUUUGAUCCUUCUCAAAUAAUUGAAAAAUAUCUUUUUUCUCGGAAAAUACUCAUAAGUAGAAAAUUUAUCUCAAAAUUAGAAAUUGAAGAACUUAGGGGCACAUAUUUUAAUUAAACAUGUCAAUUUCAAUUAAAAUAAAAAUAAAUAAAUAAAAUAUAGAAAAGGCGAUAAGUGGAUAGUGAUAGAUCUGUGUUGACAGUAACAACCACAGAUGGAUUUGUGAAUGAAUAGUCUCGGUUAGCUACCCACACAAUGGUUUGCUUUGAGAUUUUCUUGUACCAUAUCCCCACAUAAUAUUUUGUGGACUUUCUAGGAGAAAAGAAUCCUAAUUCAAAGUUACCAGCAACAAAUAUAAUGGUAUGAGAGGUUGUGAGUGAUUGACCUUGUAAGAUUGUAUCUAUAAAGGCCUCAACAAAUUGCCAGUGAAAACUUGAAGAAAUAAGCAAGAAAACAAGAUUAACAGUGUAACGCUCAAGUAUUUUUUUUUUAAGGGUAAUUUAGGAAAUUACUAAUAAUAAUUAAAUUAGUUAAUUAAUUAAUUUAAUAAAGUGGAAGAGGGGUAAAAGUGUAAUUUUACGAAUAAAUACCCUAAGUAUAAAUUAGAAAUUCUAUUUCUUCCUGUUCUUUUAUGAAUAGAGUUCAUGUUCGCAGAAUUUUAGAGAACGUAGGUUGGAGUCAGAUUUCAGGGUUGAAGAACAGAUCUCUAUAGGUAAGAUUCUAACCCCUAGUUUAAUAUUUUAGAUUCAUUGAUUAAUUUCAAACACAUUAGAUAUCUUUUGGAAAACCCAAAUCUAGAUUAGGGUUAGUUUUUUUUUUUUUUUUUAAUUCGUUUUAAUAUCAAUAGUAAAAAAAUAAAAAUUUAAGAUUUUGAUUUAUUGUUGGUAUUUGGGAGAUCUUAAGUUUUAUUAGAUGAAAAAAAAAAAAAGGUUCCUUGGAAGGUUUCGAUUUUAUAUUAGGGUUAAUUCUAUUUUUUUUAAAAGUAAAUAAAUAUAUUGUUAUUUGUGGUGGAAGGGAUUAGAAAAAAUUAAUAAAAAGAAAAAAUAAAUAAAUAAAUAAGAAAAGAAGAGAACACGUGUGCACAGUACUGGAACAAAGAAUAGAAAAAAAAAACAAGAGACGCGUGUGCACACUAGAAGGAAGGAAAAAAAAACAGGUGGGGCGUGACAGUGCUAUGGAGGCUUUUAUAUAUAUAUAUAUAAUGAAUCAUCAUUAGGCAAAAAAAAAAAACUUGUUUUUUGGUGUGUACCCGAGAUGAGUAAUGGUUGGGUGGCUAUUGAAUUGGAUAAUUAAAAAAAUAAUGAUAUUUAGUUUUAGAUUAAUAAAUAAGAUAAGAGUAAUAAUGGUCUUUUUGUAAUAAAUAGAAUGAGAGAUUUAGCAAUAUAUAUAUAUAGAAUUUUAUAAUAAAAUAAAAUUGUAAUUUAAUUAAAUUAGUAAUGUGUUAUUAGAAACAAAUUGAGAAUUUAUUAAUUUUAUUUAAAUAAGGAAUAGAUUAGUUAAAUUAUAGAUAAAUAGUAAUAAUUAUUUCUCUUAUGUUAUAUUAGGAGAAUAGUAGAUUUUUCCAGAAUUAUUUUUCUCUCAAGCUUUCAAGGUCUUUGCAUAAUUUGAGGUAAGGGAAGUUAAUGCAAUAUUUAUAAAAUUAACUUAUUUUAUAUGUUAUUUUGAAUUGUGGAAAAGAAAAUGAUAUUUUGUUACCAUGCAUGGAUCAAACUGUUUUGCACUAAAUAUUAUGUUGGAAUAUUUUGUUUUAUUUAUGACACAAAAUAUGGAGAUAUUACGUUGUGUAAAUUUGAAUACUUGAACAAAAACAUCACUCUGGUUUAUUUGGCCCUUGUCAACGGGAUAUAAUAGUUGACUAUUCGGCCCUGUCAACGGGAUAUAAUAGUUGACCUUUACAUUUCAUGGUGGGAAUGUAAUUGAUUUGGACCCCAGCCUCUAGGGGUUUGGUUAGAGGUUACUAGUACUAGUAGUGUUUGGUUCUAUCUACCAGGAACAAUUUGAGGCUAGCCACCCAUUUGAAAAGUCCCACCUAACUGGGUAUUUGAUAUUUGAUAACCAGAGUAAUGAAAAUUGAAUGGAUUUGAUUGAAUCUUAUGUGAAAGUGUUUGAAUUUGAUAUGAAAAUGGUUGGUUGAAAUUAGGAAUGGCAAUUUCGCGGGUUUUUCGGGUCACCCACCCCUUCCCGCCCUGAUUAGAACGGGUAUGGGAGCAUAGAAAUGGGAUGGGUUCAGGUUUUAAAAAAAAACCCGAAUUGGGUUCGGGGCGGGAUCGGGUUUAGUAACAAUAUGCCCCGCCCCGCCCCGAAUAUGAAAUUACAAGUUUACCCCCACCUAUAAAUAUUUGCUUCCUAUCCUUUCUGGUCUUCCUCUCCCGUUUUAGGUUUUUUUUCUCUCGUUUUAAGGUUCUCGUUCCUGGGGUUGUUGAUGAGAACACAAGUGAUGAUGGAGACGGAGCUGUCCCGAAUCACCUGAGACGACCUCAUCAUACUAGAUUGCCUCGACCCCUUUCUAUACCAGUUUCCAGUGUGAAGAAAUGGCUUCCGCAAAUCCCUCCCAUCCUCGUUCUCGUCCCUGAAACUCAUCCCUAAUAUGCAAUCAGCAACUCAAGUGUUCGUCAAAAUGCUAAAAGAUGGUGUGUUUUGGACAGUUGGAGUACUCAAUGCAGAAAUCCAUCAAUAAUCCACCCGAAACUGCCAUUUUCUCCAUGGGAAUCAUUUUAGGUAUUUUUUUUUUUGGAAUUUUGAUUUUUUGGUUUUGGGUGUUUUUUUGUCAGUUUUUGGGCAAAAGAUGAGAGAUUUGAAUGUUGAUUUGUUUGGUUUGGGGUGUUUUUUUUGUCAAUUUCUGGGCAAAAGAUGAGAAAUUUGUUGGUGAUAUUUGGGAUUGUCCAGAUUUGUAAUCUGGUGGCAACAAGGUGGUCUUUUUGCUAAUUUAUUUUCCUCAUUUCAGCAAUUUGUAACUCAUUGUUUUCACCUGUUUUUGGGCAACUCGGGUCGGAAUGGCUGGGGAUGGAAUUUUGAUUAUUAUUUCAAAACGGGGAUGAGAUUACAUACCCCGCCCCGCCCCGGGUUUGGGACGGGGAUGAGAUUUGUUUUGAAUAAACGGGACGAGGUUGGGAUGAGGGCGACCCGUCCCGUUGCCAUUCCUAGUUGAAAUUUGAAUAUAUUGGUAUUUUUGAAACUUUGAUAUUUGAUGAGAAAAAAAAAUGAUAUCUUCUAUUUGAAAUGAAAAUAUUUGAUCCAUGAACUGCAUUAAUAUUCCUUAUUGGGCUGUGAGCUCAUUCCCAAUUGUUGAAAAUUUUUCAGGUACCUUUAAUUCGGGCGAGGAGUGAUGACUAGGCGGGAAAGUUGGUCAUCAUUAGGAUUUUUCUUAGGAUGUUAUUUUUUAACAUUGUUAGCUUAUAAGUUUAUGUUCAUUUGGUUUAUUUAGUUUUUGGAAGCUAUUUAGAUAUUGAGCUUUUAAAUUUUUUUUUUUAUGAUAGAUUGAAGUUGAGAUUUGGAGAUUAUAAAAAUUCGUUAGUACUUGAUUUGUUGAGUUGCAAUCUAUUUGGAUAAUGGAUUUUGGUUGAUGGAUGCUUAGUUCUAAAGUUAAAUUUGGAGAUUUUAGAAUUUUGUUCUACUACUCUGAACAGGUUUUUGAUAAUUGGUUACUUCCAAUUACAAUAUGAUUAUUUGGAUCAGGUUAUACUUUAAGCCUUCGGGUUUGAGGUGUAAAAUGACCGUCACGCCCUUGGAGUGGGUCUUGGGGCGUGACAAGUAGACCACCUUCUGGUUGAAAUUUUGAUGUUACCUAUAACUCAUAAGUAGGAUUUAAGCAGCCCAUCAAUAAUCUUAUGGCCAUCCAAAACAGGCAGUGGCAGACCUGUGGCCCAGCCACUGGUGAGUCGAAAUCUCCUUUCCACUGACUUUCCUUUCAAUAUAUCUUCUAGGAAAAUUCUACAGCCCUGUGUGGUAGCAAUAGAAGAACAUCUUCCAUUCUUCCCUUUCUUCCAUUCUUUCCCUUUACAUUCAUCAUCGCAGCUGUCCUGGAAGAUAUCCAACUCAUAGAGUUAAUCAAACAUAAAAAAAUUAUUUUCUUUUUUUUUUCUUUUUUUGAUUUGUUUAUAGAUGAUUUUUUACUUUUAUUUUUAUGGUUAUUGGUUUCUUCGAUGAUGAUUUUUUACGAUAUAUAAAUCCAUUUUAACUUUGUUGUUAGAUGGAUUAAUUUUUAAUUUUUAAUCUUAUUUAGACAAUUUAUCUUUAAAUAAUAGAAUUGGUUGUUAUAAUUCUUAUCAUUUUUAUUAAAUUCUAAUUCUAAUUCAAUAAAAUAAAUACGGUCAAAAAUUUGAAAUUGACGGGUUGCGAACUUUUAUUAUAAUUGUCUUGACUGAUUUACAUUCUCUAGAGGUAAGACACGAAAGAGUUGUUUUCGAUACCAUACUAUUAAUGUUUGACCCAUUUGUUCAUUUAUCAUUUUUCAAAGGGAGAAUUACCAAAGAUGGUGGGCUCCAUACUGCUAAUGUUUGACCCGUUUGUUCAUAUCUCAUUUUUCAAAAGGAGAAUUAUCAAAUAUGAUGGGCUCUGAUUGAUAAUGAGUCAUCAACUUGAUAAUCUUUCAUAUGCUUCAAAAUAUAAAAACUCAAAUAUACCCUUAUGUCUUUUAUUUUAAAGUCAAGCAUAUCCUUAUUUGGCCUUUUCCCUAUUUUGUAUUUUAUUUAUUUUAUUUUAUUUUUUAAUUAUUAUUUUUAAAAUAUGAAUAAUAAUCAUAAAAAUAAAUAAUAUUAGUAAGAAUGAUAUUAAUAAAUAACAUGAAUAAUUCAAAAUAUUAAUAUUAUAAAUAAUAAUAUUAACAUUAAUAAUAAUAACAAUGUGUAAAAAAGUAUAAAAGAAAAACAAUAAAAAGAAAAGUAAAAUUAAAUGAGAAUAAUAGGGAAAAUGCAAAAAUAAUAAUAAUAAUAAGGUACAAUUAGAAUUCCGAAAUUAUCAACUUUUGAAAGCUCUUGAUAGGAAUUUGUAAACAUGGUGACCCUUUUGGGUCAUUAUCACUGGUAGCUUACCCUAAACGGGAAUUCUUCUUUUUUGAAAUUCAUGUUGGACCUUUUCGCUAGAUACAAUUUAAUAAUUGGAAGAAUACCACAUGCAUUUUUUGUAUAGAAGGAGGUCCUCUUAGGAUACAACAUUGUUUAAAAUCAUUUAUAUAACUACAAUUUUUUUACCAAUAUCUUAUUAAAAAAAUGGAAAAUAACAAAAAUCCCCCAUUAGGCCCACAUUACUUCUUUGUAUGCUGGCACAAAGUCACUUAUGGGUGGAGGAAAAACAUAAGAGAUUUAUUUUUUCAACCAAAUUUAAUAUUAAGGUGGUUUUACCUUUUUUUUUUUUUUACUUAAUUUUAAUUUGAAUUUAAAACUAAAUAGUAUUUAAUAACAUUAACUAGUAAGUUAUUUUUAAAAAGAUUUUAUUUUUAUUAAAUAUUUAAGAAGUAAAAGAAAACCUAUAAAUUACUUUUAGCAUCCAGAAAAGUCAAAUAUCAUUUUUUAUAAUAAAAAAAAUUAAAAAAUAAGUAAUAUAUUAACAAAAUGUACAAAAACAAACUAUUUGAAAUCUAAAACAAAAAUAUUUUUCUAUAAAAAAAAUUUAAAAACAAACAGCACCUAAUUUUUCAUAAUCAUCUUUACAUUCUUUUCUUUAAAAGAGAUUUGUGUUCAAAUCCAACUCUACUAUUUAUUCUUGAGUGUCCAUCAAUGCUUGGUGGUACAGUGAUUUCACAUUUUCCUUUAGGGGGUGUUUGGUACAUGGGAAUAGGGAGUGAGAAUAGACAUCUUAUUCCUUUUCUACCUUAUUCCUAUGUUUGGAUAAAUAUUAAGAAGACGAAAAUGGAAUAAAAAAUUAUUCAGGCAGAAAUCAAAUCCAACUUAUAACUCGGAUUUGCAUUCAUCAAAAGUAGGUGGUAUUCUGAUUCAUUAAACUCAUUUGAUAAUAUAAAAUAACCUAAAUUACUAUUUUACGCUCUUAUCUCAUUCUUCAAGCCUGAUGUUUAUUUUUUUUGUAAAGGUAGAGAUUCAUUCAUCAUCUACUUCUUAUCUUCUUUGCAAAGUUAGAGACCCACUCAUCAUCCAAUUCUUUGCAACAAGUGAUUCUUCCAAAUUGAAUUAAUCAAACCUUCCACGACAUUUAGAAAAUUCAAUUUCUUAGUAAAAUAUAAUUCUAUAGCUUUUUUUGCAUGACAAAUUAUUUAAAAUUUUGAUUAAAAAAUGAAUAUUUAAAAAUUUUUAAGGUUAUAGAUUUUAUCGGAUAUGAUAUUUGUUGAAAAUUAGAAUAAAUUUGAAUUCUUUUAUUUUCUUUUUUGGAAAUAGGAAAAAUAUUUGCUAGUUUUAAGAAUUUAAAUAUUAUAAUAAAUGAGGUAUUUGUCAAGUUCUUGAAAAUCAAUUUAAUAAGUUUAGAAAAUCAUUUGAACGAUAGAUGCAUGUCUUUUCUGGUUGGCUUCCGGGUCAAUCUUCUACUGCAAGCCCCACUAAGGAAUAUAAACGUUUUUGCCACGAUGUAAGCUUUGUUUGUAACGAUGCCUUUUCAUUUUAAGCUAUGGGGAUGAGGGUAGACUUCAAAUUCCUCAUCCACAUCCUGAACUCCCUCAGAUUUCUUGGCAACCAAAUGGAUUUUAUUGAAAUCAUGUCCAAUAAGAAAAGAAGGUUUUACGAGUACUCAACGUAAACCUUCGAUUAUAAUAUUUCUUCUCUUAAAAAAAAUGUUAGAUGAUGUCACAGCAUAAAAGGCAAAAAAAUUCUGCAGCUGCUUUCCUUCCUCACUUUCCCUCUUGCCUACAUGUUAAUUAGUACUUAUGCUUAGCUGUAGCAUGUGCAGAAGCUCGUCUUUCCUAGUACUAGUUGAAUAUUUUCUGUAGCUCUGACGGUUGUAUUUUACACUCUGGAUUGGCAAUGCAUAAAAGCAGAUUCAGUAGCAAUUAAGAUGGGAAGAUGAGAUACAAUAUUUUGAAAAAAUAAAAACUAUCUUGAUAAAUUAAUGAUUUAUUAAUUAAUACACAAUUAAUAUUCACUUAAUUAAUUGAUUUUCCUUGUUCCCAAGCUAUUAAUUUAUGGACGAUUAGUUGUAUCUUAAAAGAAAAAAAGAAAAAAGAAAUCUCAAAAUGGUCUAAGACUUAAAUGCAUCUUCCCUGGAUAAGCAUAAUUCAAUGUAGCAGGUAGCAGAACUUGACCGUCAUUUUCAUCAAAGUCUUCCCUAAUUUCUGUGGUUGAAUAGAUUAAACAACAUUAGAGUGGCAGGAAAUGAUCCUUUUCAUGCUGAUGAAUUGAUAGAAGAAAUCAGAUACCUGAUUUUCCCCAGCUGGGUCUGCUGCUUUUCUUUCCCUCAAAGUCUUGGAACCUCCCAUGCACUGUAUUUUGGAGAACCAUUCAGAAAUGUUUUCAGAUUUUCUGUCUCCAGAGGCCAUUGGAAAAAAAAAAAAAAAACUCAUUCAAUGCAGAGACCAACUACCAUUCAAAGCAAGGUGUAGUAGUUUUGAAAGACCUUUUGUUAGGAUUCCCUUCUAGAUAUAUUUCCUUCUAUGACUUUUCCAAUUUGUAUCGGACCUUUCUUCAAUCUAGACCAUGCCCAGAAUGAGAAGAAUUAUGGAAAGAACACUAAAUUCAUGUACUUAAGGCCCCACUGGAAUUAGAUUUUCUAUGCUGGACGGCAAAAUAAUUAUCUACUUUUUGACUUGCUAUAUGUUAUCUCUCCUAAAAUAUUCAAUGAAACUGAUUCCCAAGCCAAGCGCAGGGUCCCAUAAAUGACCAUUAUUUCACCCAUUUUGCUUUUGAAGUCUAUGUUGUAGAGAUGAGAGAGGCUCAAUGGGCUCGUUUAGCCCUACUUGAGCUUGAGCUUGAGCUUGAGCUUUCCAUCAUAAACUACAGAAAUUGUAGACUUCAAGUUAUUUCUCUUUUGCAUUUUCCUUAGUUUUCUCAGCAACCAAAGGGGUUUUACUCAAACUAUGUCCAAACAAAUGGGAAGUGUUAUAAGUCACAGGAAACGUUAUACCACAUUUUUUUUCUUCACUAAAAUUGUUUGAUCACUUUGGAUUUGGAAGGCGAAAAAUCUACAUCUGCUUAAUUAAUUCCUCCCUUUCCCUCAUGCCUAUAUGCUGAGUAGCUGAAUUGUCUUCGCUAUUGCUAGUUGAAUGAAGCACUGUAUGAUAUGAAUCUGAACCUGAAGCUAACCCUGCUUCUAUUUACUCCCUGCCCCCAUUAUAGCUAAGUUAAUACCUACACCUGGGUUCUGAUAAUUUCUUUCCCCACUGACAUAUCCAUCAAUUACAGCAUCUUGUCCUCGUACCCCAUUCCCCAUACCAAAAACUGUUUCAAAAUUAUCUUCUUUCAGACGCCGAGUGAAAACUUAAUUCACUUACUAUGCUAAUAUAUAAAAUUACAGGAAAAGAAAAAAAAGUGGAAGGUGGAUAGUUGACUCUCUAUAGAGGGAUUGGCCCUAAAUGCGCCAUUUGUUUUGAGCUCUGAAAAUUGUCCUCCACUCUUUGGAUUGAUGAGGGAACAGAUCAUAAUCAAAUUAAAUCCAAAUUCAACUGGAUAAAAUCAGACUUCAUAACAAUUUCAGAUAAAAAUAUUAGACACAGGUCUGAAUGAUUAUUGAACUGUUUUGGAAGAAAAAUUCACACAGAUCACGUGUCCAUUUCAAUACAUGAGCUAUGAAUUCGCAAAAACAACGCAAGACAAUAUGCUGAAAUUUAAGCAUAUUAUUUUUUAAGUUCUGAACCAUUAUCGUGCUUGCAUAAUUGAAAGUGUCACACCAUUUAAGGAACAAAUUUCAGGCCUGUUUUGAAAUAUAUGUGGUUCCACCCCACUUCUCAGAUUUGAAAAUGCCGGUUGUUUUGGAGAAGGUAAAUGUACACUUUCAUUGCCAAGCAUUGAGACAACAUCAGACAUGGUAGGCCUGUCAUUUGCACUUUCUUGAACACAAAGAAGGCCUAUAUUGAUGUACUUCAACAGAAUGUGUCUUGGCAAUGUCUCUUCCAACACUGGAUCCAUC